GGUCUGAUGGCGUAGUUGGUUAUCGCAUCUGUCUAACAGGUUUCGUAACUGUGAGCUUACGUAAUCCUGACACAGAAGGUCUCCCGUUCGAGCCGGGGUCAGAUCA